GUCUUCUCAGGAUGGUACCUGGAGAGUUUCCAGUACUCUACCAGUCUCGACUACGGGAGGGAGAGUCGAGCAGAGGCCUACCCAUUCCAUUACUAGCUUGGGAAGUGGCGAGCAAGUAGAAGGAAAUCUGCUACAAGU